GCCUACAGCCAUGCUAUCCAGAACAAGCCUGAUGUCUGAUCUUGGAAGCUAAGUAGGGUUGAACCUGGUUAGUACUUGGAUGGGAGACCACCUAGGAAGACCAGGUGCUGUAGGCA
rnacentral:rRNA from 1 species